CAGCUGCCCUGCUAUGGACAAGGGGGCAGCUCCUCCUGAAGGACAAAAGGGGAAUUCUCUGCGCACCCCUGGGCCCCGCGUCCAGGAGGAAGACUCGGGAGAGACCGCAAAACUGCGGGCCAAACGCCACAGCCUUCGGGGCCAUGGUGAGUUCUGCCCGAAAGGGAACUUCCGGGGGAGACCAGAAGGCCGGUCCGCGCCGCCACGUGACUGCCGCCCGGCCUGUCACUCAUCCCCGGGGAUGAAGAGAGCAAUAGCUAAUCAGGAUGGUCAGGGGAGGGGCAGAAUGUACUGUCCAAUCAGGGCCGCCAGGGAAGGUGACGGCUGGAGCACUGUCCAAUCAGAGGCGUCUAGGUCGACAUCCACCCGCGUGGACGUUGGGCUGCUUCCGGCCGUUGUGCCUGAGCGUCUGCCCCGCCCCCGCCGCGCUCCUACGUGCGUGGGCCGCGGGGACUGCCGGGAGGACGUCCGGACACCCGGGAAGGUGGGAGCAGGUAUCCCAGGAGGUGAGCCCUGCAUGCAAGUCCCGUGAAGUCCAGGGUGGCGCCAAGACCACCUUCUCACCUGGUGAGAGCUGUUACCUCCUCGGACAACUCCUGGCUUCUCACCUGGUGAGAGCUGUUACCUCCUCGGACCACUCCUGGCUUCUCACCUGGUGAGAGCUGUUACCUCCUCGGACCACUCCUGGCUUCUCACCUGGUGAGAGCUGUUACCUCCUCGGACCACUCCUGGCUUCUCACCUGGUGAGAGCUGUUACCUCCUCGGACCACUCCUGGCUUCUCACCUGGUGAGAGCUGUUACCUCCUUGGACAACUCCUGGCUUCUCACCUGGUGAGAGCUGUUACCUCCUCGUACAACUCCUGGCUUCUCACUUGGUGAGAGCUGUUACCUCCUUGGACAACUCCUGGCUUCUCACCUGGUGAGAGCUGUUACCUCCUUGGACAACUCCUGACUUCUCACCUGGUGAGAGCUGUUACUUCCUCGGACCACUCCUGGCUUCUCCGUCUGCUCCCUUUAGUCUAUUUUUGGUACAAAUGAGGGAUGUUUAGAGCUACAUGAUUAGAGCACUCCUGCCUCAUGGAGAGCCUGACGGGGUUCUCCAGUCAGGCAGUCGAGGCAAUCCUUACAGUGGCUGGCUAACUCCCCUCAACUACACUGCUUAACGCCCCCCACUCUACACUCACACAGGCCCCUGCUUGCGGCUCGAAAGGCCCACCCCUGCUUAGGACUGAAACGCUGGCUGAUGUCCCCACCUGGAACCAAAUUUUUCCUUUUCUUUUCAUUUCUUUCUUUAUGCUAAACUGCAUCUGUCGUAAUUCAUUUAAACUGGGUCUCUUCUUUAUUUUAAAGACUUACUUUUUAUUUGUCCCCCCUUCCCAUUGCUUUGCGCUGUCUGCUCUCUGUGUCUUUUCAUUGUGCUCUGUGUCUGUUCAUCUUUUCUGUUUUUUUAGGAGGCACUGGGAACUGAACCUGGGACCUACCAUGUGGGAGGGAGGCGCCCAAUCACUUGAGCCACCUCUGCUCCCUGCUGGUACCCCUCAUUUCCUCAUUGCGUCAUCUCCUUGCAUCAUCUUGUGUCAGCUGUCUUGAUCAUUGUCUUUAGGAGGCAACAGGACCUGAACCUGGGACCUCUGUAGGGUAGGCAGGUGCCCAACUGCUUGAGCCACAUCUGCUUUCCUAAACUGGGUCUCUUAUAAAACUUUGUCUUGUUCCUGACCUGAGAGAGAACUAUUCUGAAAUUUUACUAUUAAAAAGUGUUUUGGUGUAAGGAUUUCUGGAAAGGUAUUCCGAUUGGCUGCUCAGCCCCCUGAUGCCGACAUUUUCUUUUGUGAGAUUAGGUGAGUUUGCAGCCCUAGGCUGCAUGCGAGGCUCAUUGGUUCCCUAUGACUCAUGAAUUGCAUAUGUUUACAUAAAUACACAUAACACAGUUAUACAGCAAUGUAGUUGUUUAUAUAGUUAUGCAUACGUAUAUAGUUAUAAUCAUGUCUAUAGACAUACAUAACAAGUUUAUGAGUUAUCUCAAAGUAUUAUUUCAAAUAAUUACUUUACUUUUUCCUUUACUCUGACCUGCAAUUAUAUUCAUAUGUCUGUGUUUGAAUAUAUGUAUACACACAAAGACAUAUAUAUAUGGAUAUGACUGCAGAGCAGAACAGACAAAAACAGUAUGCACCCACAAGUAAUAUAGUCGAUUCUCAUUGUUGCUGGAUUCUAUAUUAGCAAAUUAACCGACUUGCUAAAAAUCCCCAGCUGAGUGCAUACAGCGUUGUCUUAGUAUUUGCUAAUUCAGUGUUUGUGGGACUUUAUAGACAUAACUACCAUGAAUUUAAAAAUGUGACCCUAUGUAAAUAUACGUGUACAGGGGAAGCAGACGUGACCCAGUGGUUAGGGCGUCCGUCUACCACAUGGGAGGUCCACGGUUCAAACCCCGGGCCUCCCUGACCCGUGUGGAGCUGGCCCAUGCGCAGUGCUGAUGCGCGCAAGGAGUGCCCUGCCAUGCAGGGGUGCCCCCGCGUGGGGGAGCCCCACAUGCAAGGAGUGCGCCCCGUAAGGAGAGCCGCCCAGCAUGAAAGAAAGCGCAGCCUGCCCAGGAAUGGUGCUCAGCUCACACCCGCACCACCAGGAGGGCGCUCCUGUUCCGCUGCUGCUCUGCUGACCCAUGAAUCCUGGCCUCGGAAUCUCAGAAUAGCCGUCUUCCUCCGUUCCCUACGCGUGGAAAUCAGUGGGGUGACAGUGGUUUUCCAGAGACCAGUGUUUAGGGGAAGCAGGCAGCUCAGGAGUGUCUGUGGCCAGGGUGUGGGCUCUCAGCUUCGCGUCCACCAGGAGGCGCGGGAAUGCGGGCAUUCCUGAGGGAAGGCGGUAGAGCGCCCUGUGGAGAGCCACGUCCUCCCGAUCCGAGGAAGAGGACUGCACGUUCUCUGGUAGGAAAGCACUGCAGCACUCCCUGGGCAGUUUUAGAUCAUGGGCAGUUUUCCUGUUUUAGGCUGCAGUGAAUUCAUUUGCAGAGUGAGACUCGGCCCCUUCCCCAAGGCCUAGAGUACCGUUUCCGGCUGAAAGGGCUGCUGGCAGCGUGUCGUGCGCGUGUGUGCACACGCCAGCCUGCUGGGAGCGGCACUGAGGCUCCAGCACGCAGGGAUCGUGGCAGCUCCGUGGUCUCAGGUCUGCUCCCGCGGCUGCGCGCUCACCUGAGUCGCUUCCUGUCGCCAUGAAAUGGGCGGGAGAGGAGAAACUG
ensembl:lincRNA